ensembl:snoRNA SNORA24B small nucleolar RNA, H/ACA box 24B
CUCCAUGUAUCUUUGGGAACUGUCAAGUGUGGCAGUCUCCCUUCCUAGCCAUGGAAGAGCAUAUUCUUGUUCAUCAGCAAAGCUGUCACCAUUUAAUUGGUGUCAGAUUCUGACUUGCACAAGUAACAUUC